AUACGUAGGGGGCGAGCGUUGUCCGGAAUUAUUGGGCGUAAAGGGUUCGCAGGCGGACUUUUAAGUCAGAUGUGAAAUCUCACGGCUCAACCGUGAUAAGCAUUUGAAACUGGGAGACUUGAGUUAAGGAGAGGAAAGUGGAAUUCCUAGUGUAGCGGUGAAAUGCGUAGAUAUUAGGAGGAAUACCAGUGGCGAAGGCGACUUUCUGGACUUAUACUGACGCUGAGGAACGAAAGCGUGGGGAGCAAACAGGAUUAGAUACCCUGGUAGUCCACGCCGUAAACGAUGAGUGCUAGGUGUUGGGGGUCAAACCUCGGUGCCGCAGCUAACGCAUUAAGCACUCCGCCUGGGGAGUACGUACGCAAGUAUGAA
rnacentral:rRNA from 1 species